rfam:Oryza rufipogon genomic scaffold, chr03
UAUAAAUGCAGUUGUGGGUUUCCGUGUCUAACGUUUAACCGUCCGUCUUAUUUGAAAAGAAUAUUAUUAGCAUUUUUAUUGUAAUUACAUGACAAAAUAUAAAUAGUACUUUAUGUGUGGCUUUUUUUAAAAAAUAUAUAAUUUUUUCAAAUAAGAUGGACGAUCAAAUAUUGGACACGGAAUACCAUAACUGCAUGGACG